rnacentral:rRNA from 1 species
GACGAACGCUAGCUACAGGCUUAACACAUGCAAGUCGAGGGACCGGCGCACGGGUGAGUAACACGUAUCCAACUUGCCUUCUACCCGGGGAUAGUCUACUGAAAGAAAGAUUAACACUCGACUAAAAGGAUGGGGAUGCGUUCCACUUGGUUGUGGGUGAGGUAACGGCUCACCAAGCCUUCGAUGGACAGGGGUGCUGAGAGGAAGGACCCCCACAUUGAAACUGGGACACGGUCCAAACGCCUACGGGAAGCAGCGGUGAGGAGUAUAGGUCAAGAAGCGCUAGCCUGAACCAGCCAAGUAGCGUAAAAGAUGAAGGCUUGUGGGUCGUAGACUUCUUUUAUAUAAGAAUAUGUAUUAUAUGAGUAAGGAACGGCUAACUCCGUGCCAGCAGCCGCGGUAAUUC